GUUGGCUGGGACGUGCUCUGCGCCGGGUCUAGGCACAUCCCCAAGGUUCUGGCAACAGAGGGCGGGGAGCGCCCGCGGGGAGCUGAGAGCCUGUGAGAAAGCCUUCAUCAGCGCUAGGCUGUUUGGGCAGAUAUUUUAGACCCGGGGCAACGUUUUCCCAGCUAUAAACCAACAGAGAGGCAUCCCUGGGAGAGCGAAUGUUUUCCCAGUGCAUCAUCUCAGCAGGGGUGGAGGGAGCAUAAGAGUCUGCAAAGAUGCCCAGUAUGGGCAUCCGGCGCGGCAGGAGGAAUUCUGCCCUGUCCUAAGCUGCUUCCCAACUUCGCCCACAUUCCAUUAUCUCCCAGGACUGGGCUGUCUCUGACUGGGAACCCGAAGGAGCACUUUACAUAUAAACACAAGGAAGGAAUCUGUGUGGGUGCCGGUAAAGUCAUUAUCAAUCUCUACAAAAAAGAAAAUGAAAUUUCUAUCAACAGGUUGUGCCGUAAUCAUAAGUACUUUGAACAUUUUCAACUGUAGAAAAUUUUAGUUAGAGGUUCAGGUUCGUUACCAGAGUGGGUUUUUCUUGCUGGCUUGAGAUCAAAUCCGGGCAUUGGGCAUUCUGCCUGGAGGUAAACACUCUACUACUAAACUACAUCCUCAGUUCUAAAGGACGCCUGCCCAGAAAGAUAUGCUUAACUGUGAGAGGAGAUGGGUUUUGACAAAAUGACUAGACUUUUUUUUAAGUUAACAACUAAUAGAUCAGUUUCAAAAUCUGCCAACCUCCUGUAUUUUAUUGUAAAGAAAAAUCAAACAGACGAUAGUUGCUUCUUGCUAAAGAAUUGAGUAACUAACACAAGGCAGCAGGUAUGAAAUUCACACGCCAUAAACUGAGAAGGAUGUUUUUUACCUAAGCAUCCAUACACAAACCCUUGCAUAGCACACUGGAAAGGGCAGAAGAUAAAUUUAAAAAAUGGCUACCAGGAGGCAGGAACAUGGGAUCGGGGGAAGAUGAAGAGGAAACACGUGUCUGAGGAUAGAGAAUGACACCCCAAAACACCUGAUCAUCUGGCUGGAAAGAAGACAUGGAAAGAGCAAUGACAUCAGCAGAUUGGGCCCUUGCUGAUGGGGACAAAAGGCAAUCCAGUUUUUGAAUUAACUAUUUUGACUAGCAUGUGAUGACCAUAUGCUAAUGAUGUGAUAUUUCAAUGCUUGCAUGUAUUAUACUGAUCAAAUAAGGGUGAUUAGUCAUACGUUGUAAAAAUAAAAGGAUCAAUUUUAACUAGGGACAGCAAGUGUGAUAAACAUCACUUAUGCUAGCUAUUAUUCACCAUGAGAUUAAAGAUCUUCCAAAAGGCAAAUUUCCUUGGUUUUAUGUCUGCUAAAUUACCUUUUCUAAAGUCUUUCAUCAACCUGUGUGCCAACGCGCAUGAUAGACCACCAGAAAAAGGAUGCUCUUUGAUUCCAAGUAUCCUGCAUUGGCCACUUGAGAUGAUCUCUUGGAGUGCGCUUUCUCUACUAACUACAUUUCCUUUCAUCGAUCGAUAUCUGCUGCAAGGCAAUUCUGGGUCUGUUCUAGGGGAAAUGUGGUAACUGGUUCCCACCUAGUAUUACUCAGUUUUCAAUUGCUGAUGAGUAAUUCUGACUGUGAAGAAGUCAACAGGAAUGGGGAGAGCUUGUCUUGCAUUCCAGGCAGGAAGGGAAACCUCAGGAGAGGUCCUCCAGUGAAUGCCUAAGUCAUCCUCAGCAGAGGGAAAGAGGGAAAGCCACCUCACGGGCAAACCCGUAAGCAACAACGAUGCUUGGCAUCAUAACGACCAGUGAAGCGUUGUCAAUGCCAAGAUGAAUUCCUAAUGAAUGGAAAAACCACAAACUGUUUAAGUAACCUGCCUCAACAAGAAGCAGGCACCAAAGACAAGCAGCUGUUAUGCUGGUUGUUAUAGCUGGCUGGGAGCAGCAACUCCCAAUCCCAUGAGAAGUCAAGGUGCAGGACUCACCGAUUUAGGUACAAGAUUUUGGUGGCAGAAACGUCACAGAAGGCAAGUCAUACCUUCCUCCAUUUUCUCGGUAGAGCAUUUAAAAGUGAGCUUGUGAAUUGCUGCAGAAUUUCGAGGCAUUUCUACUGAGGAAUCUCUUCAUUUGCUUUGCAGCCUGACAACUGUUGAAGGGAUGACCCUUAUCGCAUCACUCCAUCAUGGAUGAUGACCUCAUAGAAACUGUGUCAUGGACUACUACUUUCCCUUCAGCAAAUCCUACAGGCGUGCACCACCACAACCGGAAGGACUACUACUUUCAAUCAAUCUAUUUCCUACCUAUGGCCACACAAGCAAGAGAACUAGAACCAGCAUAAAUGCUGGAUAUGGGUGGCGGCUCACCUUAAUUCCAGCUUUAGAAGGUAGAUGUGCGGCCCCUGGAAUACCUGGCUAGCAAGGCUACCAUGUUGAUGAACUCCGGGUUUGUUUGAGAGACCUUGCCUAAAAUUAAGUUAGAAGAGUAUAUAGGAAGAUUCCCAAGAUCAACCUUAGGCCACCAUACCCGUGUACAUACAUGUCAUAUCUACUCUAUCUACUCCCCAUAUCCAUUCACACUCAUGCAAACACACAUAUGUAAAAAAAGGAAAAGAAAACGUAAAAUCAUACUGACUUACAUACAUGUGACAUAUAUAUGUUACACACAUAUAUAUUGCAUAUAGAAAUGUUGCUUCUUGGUAUAAUAAAUAUAGACACACACAUAUAUGUAUGCAUGCAAAAGAAUGUUUUCAGUGUUGCACAAAGACAUAUCUAAAAAGGUGAAAAUAACCUGAGAAGACAAUGUCUGUGUCAAAAAAAAAGGUGCACCAUAAUAAAACUGAGCUAACAAGCAGCAUCCAUGGCCAAGAUGGCCUCUCCCUUUUAUUCUUAAUUCAAGGGGGGCAGGGAUCUUGGUUGUUCCUCACUGUUGGCUGAGGUUCAACCUUACAGUCUGUUCCAGAUUGGCUAAUUUGAAAAGGGGGAAAGGGUUGGCCUCUAAGGGUCAUUAAGUUACUAGAAUGGAGCAGGGCCUUUGUGUGGAGAUGAAAAAAUUAAAUAGGGUACUAUAGAGAUGGCUUAUUGGAAGCCCUGGGUUUGGUUUCCAGCGCCCACAUGGUGGCUUUCAGUUGUCCAUUACUCCAGUUUGGGGAUCUGUCACACUCUUCUGGCCUUCCUGGGCACCAAGUUUGCAUGCAGUGCCCAUACAUAACUGUAAGCCAAAACUCUCAUGUACAUAAAAGGUAAAAAUAAGUAAAUGUUUAAAAAUGUCAUUUUAAAAGGUUUGCAUAAAAGUUUUACAUGGUAGAGGAGAUUAUAAGACUUGCAUAAAAGGUUUUGUAAGAUUUAUGGAAUAUUGAUCUUUGGAGGGCCAGUCACUUUUGAUAAAAAAACAAAAAUU